UCCGAAGAGAAAUCCAAAUAAUAUUUGGGGGGUCAUCUGGGUCGACGGAGCCUCCAGAGGUGAAGAGGCCAAGGCUCAAAAUUAAGGAUGAGUAUGAGGCCCGAGAGAAAAACAUAAAGAAAUAUCUCCAAAAGAUAAAGGACUUAACCUCGGCCUUCUUAAGCUUUGAUAUUCAAUAGGUCCCCAAAGCAGACAAUGCCAAGGCAGAUGC
rnacentral:lncRNA from 1 species